AGCGAACUCUGGCGGCAGGCCUAACACAUGCAAGUCGAACGGAUCCUUCGGGAUUAGUGGCGGACGGGUGAGUAACACGUGUGAACGUGCCCUUUGGUUCGGAACAACUCAGGGAAACUUGAUCUAAUACCGGAUGUGCCCUUCGGGGGAAAGAUUUAUCGCCAGUGGAGCGGCCCGGGUCUGAUUAGCUAGUUUGUGAGGUAAAGGAUCACCAAGGCGACGAUCAGUAGCUGGUUUGAGAGGAUGAUCAGCCACAUUGGGACUGAGACACGGACCAAACUCCUACGGGAGGCAGCAGUGGGGAAUCUUGCGCAAUGGGCGAAAGCCUGACGCAGCCAUGCCGCGUGAAUGAUGAAGGUCUUAGGAUUGUAAAAUUCUUUCACCGGGGACGAUAAUGACGGUACCCGGAGAAGAAGCCCCGGCUAACUUCGUGCCAGCAGCCGCGGUAA
rnacentral:rRNA from 1 species